AUCGCGUAAAAAUUUGCAACUCAAUCGAACUAUUUUUGAACGAGAUAUGUCUAUUCAUUUUUAAAAAUUUUCAAGUAUAUCAAUCUUCGAUUACGAACGAUUAAUAUUCGAGUCCCUUUUUCUAUCUACAACUUAAAUAUUAAUAUUUAAAUAUUCCUUUAUCUUCUUCGAUGAAUUUUAUGCAACAGCUCGCGUAUAUCAAUAAAAAUCGCGUAAAAAUUUGCAACUCAAUCGAACUAUUUUUGAACGAGAUAUGUUUAUUCAUUUUUAAAAAUUCUCAAGUAUAUAUCUUCGAUUACGAACGAUUAAUAUUCGAAUCUUUUUUGCUAAGUUCAACUUAACCACUUAAAUCUUAAAAAUUUAAAAAAUAUUCAAAUAUAUAUCUUAUUAUUUAAAUAUUCUCUUUUCUUCGACAAAUUUCAUGCAACAUCGGUCGCGUAUAUCAAUAAAAAAUUCAUGUAAAAAUUUGCAACUUAAUUAUUCUUAAACGAGCUAUCUCUAUUCAUUUUUAAAAAUGUAUAAUUACGAUUACGAACGAUUAAUAUUCGAAUCUUUUUUUCCAUCUACAACUUAACCACUUAAAUCUUAAUAAAUUUAAAUAUUCCUUUUUCUUCUUCGACGAAUUUCAUGCAACAUCGUCCGCGUAUAUCAAUAAAACUCGUGUAAAAAUUUGCAACUCGACCCAAGUAUUCUUAAACGAGAUGUGUCUAUUCAUUUUUAAAAAUUCUCAAGUAUAUACCUUCGAUUACGAACGAUUAAUAUUCGAAUCUUUUUUCCCAUCUACAGCUUAACCACUUAAAUCUUAAUAUUUAAAUAUUCCUCUUUCUUCUUCGACGAAUUUCGUGCAACAUCGUCCGCGUGUACCAAUAAAAUUCAUGUAAAAAUUUGCAACUCAAUCGAACUAUUCUUAAGCGAGAUAUGACUAUUUAUAUUUAUAUUUAAAAAUUCUCAAGCAGAUACAUCAAUCUUCGAUUAAUAUUCGAACCUCUUUUCCACUCGAUUCGAACCAACUCCCACCUAAACCAAUCUUGAAUCUUAACAUCUGAAUAUUCCGUUUUCUUCGACUAUUCCGUGCAACGCCUACGGUAUCGGCCGCCAUAUCCCAACCGUUCAGCUUUCGAUUAUAAGCCCGUCCUUUUGCGAGGCCGUCUCUACAAAUGCCAACGGGCCGAUAUAUCUUCGCGGAGAACGUUCGUAACCCAGUUAGCCCGAAGGUUCCUCCUACUUUCACCGACCGCAAAGUCGACUUCUGUCCAUUCAACUGGCCUCCCGGAGUCGGAGGAGGAAUCAACGACCCGGUCGAGGUACCGUUCGAGUUUGCCACGCGGCUGGAUCCGCGCGAUCGAGCGCAUAAUUUUCGACUACUUUCACUGGCUUCGCCACCUGUGCCUGUCGAUUUUACUCCUCUGAAUUCGCGCACCUGACCCAGUUGACCGUUUCGAGAGAUAUCCGCGAUCGUCGACGAUCAAGGUCAUUGGGCUGGCUAGAUUCUCUCUUCUCUAGCAGAUAGACUGGUUCGAUGGAUGUGUACCGUAUCAUAUUGGCAGGAAAUAACCGUGGGCAGGAAAACUCUCGACAGGGGAUAGGGGACGGUCAGGAAGUGGUAUUCCAGUCGAUGGAACGAUGCUCUUUCUAUCUGCUUGCGUGCUACUUGAAUGGCUGAUAUGUGAAAGUAUUGAUUGGGUUAAAUCUAUUUUUGCUUCGUUUUUCGGAUUAAAUUCGAUUGGGGAUAUAGGAAAAAUCUGUAAUCACAUUAAGAAAUGGAAAAUAAGGUUGUUAGUAAAAUUUAUAAUAUGCCAAGGGCUUACGACCAGAAUACGACGUCUAGAAUAGAUUUUUCAAGUUCAAGCUCUUCGAUUCUUGUCUCUUCUAGGAUUUUCGAAAUAAUGUUGGUUACGUAAUUCUUCUAAAAAUAUAUAUCUCUAUAAAUAUAUAUUAAUAAAAUCCGUAUUUAAUAUUGGUGAAGAAUAUUUUAUUGGUAAAAUUUUUUUUCUUCAUUUUUAAUUAAUCUUAGAGGUAUAAACGUUUCUUUGAUACGUUGCAAUCGUAUAUGCUAAAAUCGGAUGCAUUCUGUUUUUCUCGAAAUCAUGAGCUAUAAUCAUGUUCGUUAUGACGUUAAUGUCGCGACUGAUAAACAAUCGCACUGACAUUGAUGUUAUCGCGAAGCAUCGAACAAUAAUUCUAUCAAAAAUUAUUUAGAAUAGAGUGCGCCACUGAAAUGGAAGCUGUAGAUAUAUUUGUAUUACAAUUCUUCAUUUAAAAAAAAAAUUUUAACAUUGAAUUAAUAUUUUUAGCUAUUUAAUCAUUUAUGUUUAAUAUUUAUUAAUUUGAUAAACAUUUUUUUUUCAACACAAUCAUAUUUACCCUCAACUCAGCAUUCCUCAAACUCUACUAAGAACGUUUCACCGCUCCAUUACAAAAUCCUUGUGCUCGAAGGUCUCGUAACUAUUCCAGUCACCAUGCUCCACGAAUAACUUUCAUUCACCCUAGUAGGUACAAUCACUAUCAAUCGCACGUUCUCACUUCUUUCCCUUCUUGUUCACGACCCUUAUUCCCUAAACUUUCAAGAUUUCGAAUCGGCAAAUCAAUUCUAAUACCACGAGUCAUAUCAUCUGUCUCUCUCUUUCUCCAUCUUCGUUUCCUACAUCAGGAGGGUGCGUCUGCGCAGAACAGUAUUGCCAACGCGACGCACGCCUCCGCAUGGACCUAGAUCUCUACGGAGCACAGCAAGAACCGGCGCCGGCGUUGCACCGCAUCGCAGUGCACACAGUGCGUGACGUCACCGGUGGCACGUGCCUUUCCCCUUGCCUCCCACCGCAGCCGGCACUGCAGUGUUGGGCGGUGUGCAGAGGGGCGGAGGGGUGGCCGGCCCAGAGAGAUGUGGUGGGGGAAGGUAGUUAAGGUCACCGUGGCCCUGACUGCACGCGCGCGAAAUGAUAUCCGUGUGCAGACCGGUGCAGUUGUGUGCGAUCUCGUGCUCUUGCGAUUCACGUGUGCGCACGCGCGCUCAUAGUAUUCACGGACGGAAAGAUUUAUUUCUAAUUCCACCGCAACCGUUCUUUCGUCUCCCUCUUUCCAAACUCGACCACGACAAUAACUUAAAAGGAGAAAGAGAGAACUUGUGCAUAGAUUCGAGGUGAAUUCGAGCGAUGGUCAAGGCCCGCGAGCCUCGACGGCCAACUUUCCUUCCUUUCCGCCCACUCGUCGUCCACCCUUUAAUUCCUAGGCAGCUGGGGUGGAGGGCCACGAAAUGACCUAGAGUGUCGAGCGUGGGCUUCGCUCGGGCCGCGCGUGGCACGGCAUUGCAUCGUUUUUGAACGUGUAGUUGCAGUAGAGGUGGGAUCCUGUUGGUCGGAGGUGGAAAUGGUUGCUUGGUAUUUUGCGAGAUAUUGGACUUGAUGCAAAUGGCUAGUCAUUUAACACAUGAUUAUAUUCAGUCAUUUAUAUCUUUAUACGCAUGAUGCUAUCACACUAAACUUUCUAUUUAACUUCUCAAAGUUUUCCUAGUGAUAUUUGAACAAUAAUUUAUAAUAGAUAAAAUGAUGAUAGUUGACGAAUAUUGUAGACGGCGCUUUAUGGAAAUGUAGUAAUACAUGCGACACCGUGGCCGUUACGGGAAACAUUAAUUCUAAAGUUGUUCAACGGACGAAGUGAGAGUAAUGUAUCCUUCCAUAAAUUCUUUGACACGUGGUUAGAUUCGAUAAUUUAAUGUCUCAACGAAAUCAAGGUCGACUGCAUCUUCCCGAGAUGUUCUCGAUGUACGAAUGCGGAUGUUCCGAUUCAUUUUCAACGAUAUACAUACAUAUGCGUGCGUACAGUUGAAACUCUGGGACGUUGGGUUGUAUUGUGACACGUCCGUCCAUCUUACGUAAUAAUAUUGCGUAAACUUGACGUUCACCGUAAUGUCUGUAGUACAUAUUUCCGUGCGCCCAGCAACAACGAACCGGCUAGAAUCAGAUAAAUUUUUUUGAACUAGUUUCAAAUUUCAUCAAAGUUUUCAAAAAUUCCUUUUUCUUAAAGGAAAAUUUUUAAUGAUAUUACCAAAUCAAUAAAUUAUGUAGAAAAUAA